GACGAACCGUGCGAACGUUGUUCGGAAUCACUGGGCUUAAAGGGCGCGUAGGCGGGCUGUCCAGUCUGGGGUGAAAUCCCGCGGCUCAACCGCGGAACGGCCUCGGAUACUGACGGCCUCGAGGGGGGUAGGGGCAUCUGGAACUGUAGGUGGAGCGGUGAAAUGCGUUGAUAUCUACAGGAACUCCGGUGGCGAAGGCGAGGUGCUGGACCCCUUCUGACGCUGAGGCGCGAAAGCCAGGGGAGCAAACGGG
rnacentral:rRNA from 1 species